GAUGAACGCUGGCGGCGUGCCUAAUACAUGCAAGUCGAGCGAACAGACGAGGAGCUUGCUCCUCUGACGUUAGCGGCGGACGGGUGAGUAACACGUGGAUAACCUACCUAUAAGACUGGGAUAACUUCGGGAAACCGGCGCUAAUACCGGAGAAUAUAUUGAACCGCAUGGUUCAAUAGUGAAAGACGGUUUUGCUGUCACUAAUAGAGGGAUCCGCGCCGCAUUAGCUGGUUGGUAAGGUAACGGCUUACCAAGGCAACGAUGCGUAGGCGACGUGAGAGGGUGAUAGGCCACACUGGAACUGAGACACGGUCCAGACUCCUACGGGACGCAGCAGUAGGGAAUCUUCCGCAGUGGGCGAAAGCUUGACGGAGCAACGCCGCGUGAGUGAUGAAGGUCUUCGGAUCGUAAAACUCUGUUAUUAGGGAAGAACAAAUGUGUAAGUAACUAUGCACGUCUUGACGGUACCUAAUCAGAAAGCCACGGCUAACUACGUG
rnacentral:rRNA from 1 species